GCUGCGGUCUCUUCCCGCCUACAUUAGAGUGACGACGGUGGAAGAGUAAACUGCGAGGAAGACGCUACGAUCGCUUUUUUCUUAGCUAAUUGGCUACAAACCAACAAAUUCGAGCAUUUUGAGCUCCUCUCUCAGUUUUUCGUCUUUUGAUAUACUUCUGGGGGGCAACAAUUUGCCACAGCGUUUGCCCUUUGAAUCGACUUCAACAGAAAGAAGACCUUCUAGUUACAGUCGAACUGGCUUUGGCAGAAGACCAGACAAUGGCCAAGGGAACAGGCUCUCAUUCCGAAAUGGCCCGUGCUCGCCAGAGCGAUGGCCUCAAUGUGAUCUUUGACCAGAAAAGCCCCAGGUCAUCCCGAUCCUACUCCAUAUCCCGCUCUGUGUCCAGGAGCAGCUAUGACAGCAGCCACUCCUCAGGCUCUCACAGAGGGCGUGACAGACCCAGACGCUAUUACAGAUCAUCUUCAUCGUCCUCAUCAUCUUCUCCCAGGAGCAGGUCCUCUCGCUCCAGGUCACGCUCCUACCCCCGCUGCCACAGACGCUCCUCUCGCUGUCGAUGUGACGACCACAGCAGACGCAACAGAGGUCGUUCUAGUCAUUCCCCACCCCGCUGUUACAGGGCCCACACUCGCUCAUUCAGAUGCUCGCAUCGCAGACGGUACAGGUCUCCCUCCAGGUCCCGCUCAAUUUCCCGAUCCAGGUCAUCCUCCCGCAGGUCCAGGGGCCGCGUAAGCCAGUAUCGAUGCAGAUUUUCACAAUCCCCAUCCAGGAGCCGAUCCCGAUCCGUUGGACGUUCUGUCAGCCUCAGUCUGUGUGAUAAAAGGGAACUCCUCGAAGCUGCAAAGGCAAACGCCAUGAAGAUUCUGGGAGUGGAGAAAAUGGAACUUCCUGAGAGUGUGAAACCAAUCCUGUCAGAACCAGAGCGUGAGCCAGAGAAAAGGGUGAGACACUGCCCCGAAAAGACCGCAGCACAGGUGAGUGUGGCAGGAAACCUGCCAUUCACUGAAGGCGAAGCUUUUAAUACUCUAAAGACUUAGAUUUGCAUUUUCUUUCCAUAUAAAGACGAGGGAUAUGAAGAAGCUUAGAAAUAUCUCCUGUGCACAGCAGUGCUCUCCUUUAACUUUUAAUCACAAGGUAGAGGUUAAUGCAUUGUUUUUAAAUGAUUCAGCACUCAGACUUUAUAGCUGUGACUAUAUUGUGGUCUGUGUUGUUGACUUUCCUGUCUUGUUUAACCUUUUGGACCUUGAGGGGAACAUAUGCUCUUUAUUUAUUCCUGUCUUCAUAGAUGACAUGACAGUGGUCUCCUUCACUCAUCGGCACCUGGGAUUAAAGGGCUGUCAUGUGACUUGGGUGAUAACAAAAUCAGAGCCCUCCACUCGCUGAUGGAGCGCACGUGUGUGGACUGCAUUAUAGAGCUAAAAACAGAUGAAGAACUCCUCUCCAUAUACCAAAGAUAAGUUGGUACACAUGGCCUGGUUGGUGUGCUAAGGGGCUGGGAAAACUGCGUGACCACCAUUCUGCAACUGUAGACAGAGAAGCCUUAUAUAUUUCUUUUUAUUAGGGUUUUUUUUUUAAUAAUUUGUUUUUAGAUUCUGUUUCAAGGUCUUACCUUGAAGCUUGGAUUAAGUGUUUGGGGGUUGCAUGAGAGCUGUAGUUUGUUGAAGAUAUACCUACCUACGCAGUAGAAAAGCUUAACUGUGUUAGAAGCAGUUAAUCUAAUAUCACCUUCACAAACUGUCAAAGCUCACUCUGCCUCCAGUUUGGGGCUUGUGAGUAACUACUUGUUGUCCUUGUUUUUCAACAGGGCACAGAGGAGGAGCCUGAUGACGUCUGCAGCCAGAGGUUGUCCCAGAAAGGAAAAAUAGCUUUCAGCAUUAACAACUCUGUUGCUAAGCCAACAGCGACAGCUCCUCCUACAGCAAGGGUAACUCCCCGAGUGGACAGCGUGGAGCG